ACGAACGCUGGCGGCGUGCUUAACACAUGCAAGUCGAACGGAAAGGCCCUGCUUUUGUGGGGUGCUCGAGUGGCGAACGGGUGAGUAACACGUGAGUAACCUACCCUUGACUUUGGGAUAACUUCAGGAAACUGGGGCUAAUACCGGAUAGGAGCUCCUGCUGCAUGGUGGGGGUUGGAAAGUUUCGGCGGUUGGGGAUGGACUCGCGGCUUAUCAGCUUGUUGGUGGGGUGGUGGCUUACCAAGGCUUUGACGGGUAGCCGGCCUGAGAGGGUGACCGGCCACAUUGGGACUGAGAUACGGCCCAGACUCCUACGGGAGGCAGCAGUGGGGAAUAUUGCACAAUGGGCGGAAGCCUGAUGCAGCAACGCCGCGUGCGGGAUGACGGCCUUCGGGUUGUAAACCGCUUUCGCCUGUGACGAAGCGUGAGUGACGGUAAUGGGUAAAGAAGCACCGGCUAACUACGUG
rnacentral:rRNA from 1 species